UUUUAUGACACCACACUCCUCUGGUUUUCCUCCUGCCUCUGGCUGACUCCUCUCCUUCCUAAGGAGUUCCUUUUUCUCAGUCUACUACUAAAAUGGGAGAGAGCAAAAAAGAUCUGCACGUCAUUGGUGUGGAGCUGCUGUAAAGGACAGCAGAACUGCCAGCCCUGAGCAGCACAACACGCCGGCUCAUCGCAGGAGACAAUUUUAGUGUCAGCCAGCAGCAGCAGCUUGAUUUGCAGUUUCUUUUAUGGAACUGACGUCAUUUGACAAAUGAGGAAAUAGGACCAUGGACAGCGGUCUAAAACAUUACCCAAGGCUACCCAGCUAGUGAGCGGGGAAAGCAAGGCCUUGAAAGCUGCUUGAUGGGUCUCUCAUGACUUACUGCCUCCAAGUUCUAAUGUGGUCAGAAUUCCUAGAAACCCAGAUUUGUGAAUCUCUACAUCAGUCUAACCAAGCAGCAGAGCUGUGGAUGAGGCAGUCCGGAUGAUGGGCAGAUGGGGAGACAGCUCACAGAGGUUAGGAGUGGAACUCAGUCAUCUGCCUACGACCUGCUUCUAUUUACACGUGAGAUAAAGAGAAUUAAAAAGUCACAUCAAAGGACCUGGCCAUCGAACAGGGUGUGGUAAUACUCUGCUAAUACAUAUUUUAAACUCAAGUGGCUUCAAACCUCCUGUCAUUUGAUACUGUUCCAACUGAACAUCUAUAAACCAUAAUAUGGAGAUUGAGCCCUAA